rnacentral:tRNA from 6 species
GGAAGUGUGGCCGAGCGGUUGAAGGCACCGGUCUUGAAAACCGGCGACCCGAAAGGUUCCAGAGUUCGAAUCUCUGCGCUUCCGCCA